rnacentral:rRNA from 1 species
GAUGAACGCUGGCGGCGUGCCUAAUACAUGCAAGUCGAGCGAACGGACGAGAAGCUUGCUUCUCUGAUGUUAGCGGCGGACGGGUGAGUAACACGUGGAUAACUUACCUAUAAGACUGGGAUAACUUCGGGAAACCGGAGCUAAUACCGGAUGAUAUUUUGAGCCGCAUGGUUCAAAAGUGAAAGACGGUCUUGCUGUCACUUAUAGAUGGAUCCGCGCUGCAUUAGCUAGUUGGUAAGGUAACGGCUUACCAAGGCAACGAUGCAUAGCCGACCUGAGAGGGUGAUCGGCCACACUGGAACUGAGACACGGUCCAGACUCCUACGGGAGGCAGCAGUAGGGAAUCUUCCGCAAUGGGCGAAAGCCUGACGGAGCAACGCCGCGUGAGUGAUGAAGGUCUUCGGAUCGUAAAACUCUGUUAUUAGGGAAGAACAUAUGUGUAAGUAACUGUGCACAUCUUGACGGUACCUAAUCAGAAAGCCACGGCUAACUACGUG